UACGGGGGGGGCUAGCGUUGUUCGGAAUUACUGGGCGUAAAGCGCGCGUAGGCGGUCAUGCAAGUCAGGGGUGAAAUCCCAGAGCUUAACUCUGGAACUGCCUUUGAAACUGCAUGGCUAGAAUGUGAGAGGGGAUAGCGGAAUUCCUAAUGUAGAGGUGAAAUUCGUAGAUAUUAGGAGGAACACCGGUGGCGAAGGCGGCUAUCUGGCUCACUAUUGACGCUCUGGCGCGAAAGCGUGGGGAUCAAACAGG
rnacentral:rRNA from 1 species